ensembl:lncRNA HDHD5-AS1 HDHD5 antisense RNA 1
GGAGUUGUAGUCCUGUAAGCGCGCGGAGCCCGUCGGGCGCCUAUGGAACUCGACCCGCAGGCCAAAGGGGCUCCGUUGCAAGGAAGAAGUGCGGGGUCCCGCCGCCUCCUAGACCGAGAUCGCGGAGCCAGCUGGUCCACCAGAAGUCUGUGUUCUGCCUGUCCCUGCAGCACGGAGGGCUGGGCUUUAUACCUGUGCCAAGGACACCAACGGCAGCAUCAGCAAGUCCGUGUUGUCUCCCAAAUAAGUGGUGUUCUCCAACAAGCUUUUAGCAGUAAUAAAGCUGACAUUUUUAUUCUCAUA